GAUGAAGAACGUAGCGAAAUGCGAUAAGUAGUGUGAAUUGCAGAAUUCAGUGAAUCAUCGAGUCUUUGAACGCACAUUGCGCCCCCUGGUAUUCCGGGGGGCAUGCCUGUCCGAGCGUCAAUGCUGCCCUCAAGCACGGCUUGUGUGUUGGGCCUCCGUCCUCCUCCCGGGGGACGGGCCCGAAAGGCAGCGGCGGCACCGCGUCCGGUCCUCGAGCGUAUGGGGCUUCGUCACCCGCUCUUGUAGGCCCGGCCGGCGCUUGCCGACACAUCAAUCUUUUUUCCAGGUUGACCUCGGAUCAGGUAGGGAUACCCGCUGAACUUAAGCAUAUCAAUAAGCGGAGGA
rnacentral:misc_RNA from 1 species